GUUGUUUCUUUUAAUCUUUAGGUUUUCUGAACUGAUGUGAAGUGCUGCGGUUUAGGAAAGGAUUAUUUAGUGGGCUCAACAUCCGUUGUUAACCACGUUCUCUUUUUAUUUAUGCUUUUGCUGGCAGAAGACAAAGGGCGGGAUGAAAAGGAUUUUCCGCGUUGAAAACCCGACGAGGGAGGCACGUGAUGUAGCAAACUCAAGAGGUCACAAAAACCCGAGAAGGAGAAAUUGAAGAUACUUCUUCAUGCGGUUACACGUGAGGACAAGUCUGAGUUGUGCAGUUUCCUUCAGCUGUUGAAGGUCAUGCUUGAGUUCUAGAAUUUCUAGCAAGUCUGGCUACAGGAAGAGACCUGGUUCAGCAUUUCUACACUUCAAGAUGCUGAAAACUUGAUCUUAUUCGUACAUGGAUUCAAGCAAGCUUGAAUGAGAGUGCAUGUGAUCUUUCCUUUUUACAAGCAAUCUCAGCCUGUGCUGUUUUCACACCCAUGUUCUGAAGCUCUUGUUUUUGACCACGUGGCUGAGAAGGUUUAACAAGAACAACACUAAGUAUGCUACCUGCAGGUCUGAAACAGCAAUGCUUUUCAUACAUCCUAGGAUGUUUUUGUCUGUGGAUAUGAGAAUUGUGAUUCUUUUUAACCUUAGUGAAGUGUGGAAGCUUGCUUCCUACCUCACUUAAAUCCUUUACAUUGCUAAAACAGCAGCAUCUGUUCCUGUUGUGUUGUCAGUCUCUCAGCAUUUUGGCUCUUGCUCCUUUUCCAACUAAUGUGGAAAGUUGGGAGGAGGCAUUAUGAGUGUAAAAUAGCUUUGCCUUGAGUCAUUUCUCUUCCAUGCUGUACUGUAGCUCGUAAACCAUAAUCACUUGUUUGGAAACACUUGUGCAUUGUAUUGGUGAUGAACGAAACUUGGUGCUCUUGGCAUGUGUGAGUCAUAGGUAAGUCUGAAUCUCAAGUGCCUGUCCAGUGCUGUUAAUGGGUGUGCAAACAACACGGCAACACUGUGGGUUUUGUCAAAAGUCUUUAUUUGAAUAAAGUAUCUCGGCUAAUUCUCUCCAA